rnacentral:rRNA from 1 species
AUAUUGGUCAAUGGAGGCAACUCUGAACCAGCCAUGCCGCGUGAAGGAAGAAUGUCCUACGGAUUGUAAACUUCUUUUAUUUGGGAAGAAACCUCUGGUCGAGAACCAGGGCUGACGGUACCAAAAGAAUAAGGACCGGCUAACUCCGUGCCAGCAGCCGCGGUAAUACGGAGGGUCCAAGCGUUAUCCGGAAUCAUUGGGUUUAAAGGGUUCGCAGGCGGUUUAAUAAGUCAGUGGUGAAAUCUCGAGGCUCAACCUCGAAACUGCCAUUGAUACUGUUAGACUUGAAUACAGUUGGAGUAGGCGGAAUGUGUAGUGUAGCGGUGAAAUGCUUAGAUAUUACACAGAACACCCGAUAGCGAAGGCAGCUUACUAAAACUGUAUUGACGCUCAUGAACGAAAGCGUGGGGAGCGAACAGGAUUAGAUACCCUGGUAGUCCACGCCGGAAACUAUGGAUACUCGAUAUUGGCGAUUACGUCAGUGUCUAACCAAAGUGAUAGUAUCCCACCUGGGGAGUACGGGCGCAAGAUUGAAACUCAAAGGAUUGACGGGGCCACACACA